GCUGCCCGCCACCCUCCCACCUUUGCUCUCCCGGCCGCCUGGUUUCCCCCGGCUUGGGGGGAACCCCCUCUGCAGCCGCACUGCCGGUGUGUCCGAGAGUCCGGUGCGCUGGGACUGAGGAUGGACGAAGGGACCUGCCCGUUUCGUUGGUGCCCGGGCGAGAAGGAGCUGCUAGGCUAGGGGUACAGGUGGGACUCGAACCCAGGUGUGUCGGCCCUUAGCUGUGGUUAUUACCCUUACUGCCAUCAGCGUGCCUUCUACCUGCGGGGUCCAGGGCUUAGAGGGGGCGUGCAUUUCUUGUUUCAUUCUCCUGGCAGUCCUGAGGGAUGGGUGUCUCCAGAUUGCAGCGGGGGAAACUGAGGCUCAGAGAGGCGGGGGUGGUAAGAAGCCGAACUGCGAGACCAGAGCUUGCGUGCUUCGCCUGCAUUUACUUUGAGGGCUCAGCAGUUCACCCGGGAGACCCAGCAGGACCCACGAGGCGUCUCAUCCUUGGCCAGAACAGAACUUUUGAUUCUCUACCACCGACACUUCCUCUCCAGUCUUCCCAGGCUCAAUAAGUGGCAUUACUCUUCACCAGGUGGGACUACCUUCGUCUCUUAUCUGGACUGCUGCAGUAGCUCACCAGCAGAUGCCCUCUGCUCUGCGAUCUUCCCUACAACCCCCCCCCGCAGCCUAUCGAACACGAAGAAACACUUUCACGGUCGCCUCUCUCUAUCCCUGCCCAUCAACUCCUGGCAACCACUAGUCAACUUUCUAUCUCUACAGAUUUGCUGUUCUGGACGUGUCAUGUAGAUGGAAUCAUACAACGUGUAUUCUUCUAUGUUUGGCUUCUUUCAGUUCGAAGCCAGUGACUUUAAGUUUUAUCCAUGUUGUAGUAUACAUUAGUACUUCAUUUUUAUGUGUGAAUAAUAUUCUGUUCCAAAUACAACAGAACAUUAUUCACAGUUUAGAUAUCCGUCUUAUUUGGAAAUAUGUUUUCAGUUCUCUUAGGUAUGGUCCUCGGAGUGGACUUGAUGGGCCACAUGGUGACUCCAUCUUUAACUUUUUGAGGAACUGCCAGACUGUUUUCCAAAGUGGCUGCAUCAUUUGCAAUUACCUUUUAAGAAACCACACUUGUCCCCCCCCCCCAAAAAAAAAAGAAACUACACCUGUCAAGUUUUGACGUAGUACUAAAGAAGAUUAUCUGUAAUUAUUUGACAACACCAUUAAACUAUCCCUCCCAUUUCCAAAGACACAUCUGCGGGAGGUAGAUUUUCUUCAUAUGCUUCAACCCAAACAACAUAUUGCAACAGAUUGACUGCAGAGGGUGAUGUGAGAACCCAGGUGUCUUCCAUUCUGCCAGACGUUAAAAGGGUUUGCAGAAACGUAAAAGCAUCUUCUCACCAAAUUUCUUUCUUGUUUUGAAGAAGAUUUUUUUCAUAGACCAAAAACAAACAAACAAACAAAAAACACCUGUUGACAUGUAAUAGGUUCAUUGUUAUUUUUAAAUGAAUAGAUAAUUUAUUUAAAGUAAUUUAAGAAUUUAUUUUUUUAAUUUCCGAUAUGAUGAAUAUCAAUAGCCAUGAUCCUCAUGAACCACUAUAUCGAGAUUCUCCAUGUAAAGAAUAUAAAGGGUUCUCGGGACCCACCUCGGAGCCCGUUCUGGCUGAUGCCGUCUUACAUGCACUUGAGUUUGCUUCUCUUGCUCUCUGCUCCCUGCAGUUCUGGUCGCUGGCGCUCCUGUGCGACACGAGGCGAGCGUGCUUCGUUUUGCCUGGCCUCAGGUUCGUCACUUGUGGAACGGAGACGCGGUAUAGAAUAUAUGGGGUAGGGGCGUGUGUGUUGGGAUUGAAUUGAGAAGAGGCCACGAAAAAUUGUAAAGCUCAGUAUGGUCCCAAGCUCUGCCUCAAGUGAGAUCCUGAACUCGUGGAGCAAAUGCAGGUGCUGUUUUGCCUAGAGAAUAGCUGAUUAUCCUCUCUUGCUUUGAAUUCCUCUUUUCUUUGGUUUUCACGUUAAUUAAUGCUUUGGGGGAUAGUUUAAAUUGUAGCGAUAGAGAUGGGAGCUCAGGAGAAAUUAGUGACACUGGUGGGAAUGCCAUUGGGGGAGAGGAUUGGGUGCUGAGUGACUUGGGUGUGUUUAACAAAUGUUCAGUGAACCCCAGCUGUGCACUAGGUGCUGUCUGCUAGGUGAUGAAGAUGGAGGGCGGGGUGGUAAGGCACAAAGCAGACAAGGUCUUAUUCUCCGAGAGCCUGUAUUCUGCCAGGGAAUAAGGGAGCAGAAAUGGCAAAUGACCAGAAAUGUUGCAGGCUUAUGAUACGAAGAGAAAAACAACAAGAUGUUGUGGUGGAGCAGCAAGGUGCGCCUAACCCUGUGGGGCAUUUGAGCUCAGAUGGAAGGGUCCUUAGAGGUCCUCUUAUGUAAAUAAAUGUCCUCCUAAUGUUCCAGUAGAGCAGUUCCUGUAAGUUUCCGGGCUGUGUGCAUAACUCUUUGAAAAUAUGUUAAAAUCUUUAGCUUUAACGUAAUGAAGUGUGUAAGUUGCGGUAGACUAAGAGUGUAAGUUCGAUAUUUCUGAAGUGUCAUACAUCCUAAGAGCUGCUAAUGUUUUUGUUUUGUUGUUCACUGAUUAUCAAGAUAUAAAUAUUUUUCAGAAGGUUUGUCAAGUACUGCCCACGGUAGAGGAGGAAAACAGUGACCUGUAAUUUCAUCAACCAUGGGACAUUUAUCGCAUUUGACCAUUAUGAUAACCUCUGUAAAAUAGGACAGUUAUUGAAGUACUCCUUUUUAAGUCAGGCUAAGUAACAUAUGUUAGUAAUAAAAGCAUUACAGCAACUCCUUAUAAUUUGUGAAGAAAGUUCAGAUGUUAUUUUGUUUUGCUCCUUUUUUGUUCCUGCUCUUUUCUUUGUACCCUAGCGUACCCUGUGUGGACAUCCAUUGUGGUUAAUUGCACUGAUUUCUGUGCAUGCUUCUUUAUCGACUGCUCUGGGGACUCCUUGAGAAUAGAGAGCCUGACUGCCUUUGUCUGUAUAUCCUUAAUGCAUUGUAAGGACUUGUUACCUUUGCGGAGGGAACACACACACACACACACACACACACACACACACACACAGGUGCAUGCACGUGUGUAUAUAUACAGGCCUAGAAUUGAGACAACCUAGUAGGGUAGAUCAGUUUGGUAGGGGCUUAAAACCAUGGAAGGGAUCCCUUCAGUGCCCCUCCCCCCCCACGCUUGGUGAGACUGGACCCUCAGAAAAAUGAAUGUGUGUUAAUUCAUUACAUAAGUCACCAUGUGUUACACUAUCUCUUGUAUAGCUUUUUUUUUUUUUUUUUUUUUUUGAUUGUACAACUCUUACCCAGUCUUUUUGGCAAGGUCUUAAAUAUUCGUGUUUGAAAACAAGUUCAAGUGCUGGAAGAAUUGCCUUCCUGUUUACCAGGAGUGUAGUUAUGUGGAAGAGGUCCUUCUGGGAUGCACUUGGCUGUGAACACUUGUUUUCUUUCGGGAAGACUAACAGGAUAGUUUGAGAGUAAUGUUAGGAGUAACUCUUAAUCUUGUUGUGAGAUCCAGUGUACUUUGACCAGCUGCUUACUAGUCUAAAUGGCUAUUAAUUUAUCUAGGGCAGCAUUCGAAGCUCAGUUUUGAUUGGACAUAGCUUGACUAUGCAGCUAACUGAUAGGGUCCCAGCAGAGCAGAGGAAUAUAAAUGUCCAGGUAGUUAAACUGUAUGUAGCUAAGUAAUUUGCCCCAUAUUCCCAAGGCUUCUGCACUUAGCCCCUCUUCUUGCACCAACCAAGGAGUAUAGAUGUUGUUUAUAUAUAACCCAUCCUGUUCCUGCCAGUGCCAGUUUUUGCCUAUAAAUGAAACAAAAGGGAGAGGCAGAAUAGAAAUUAAAGCCACUAAGUGUGACUGUUGUGCACUUAGUAAAUUAAAGAACAAAAUCCAGUACUGGUGCAGUGGUGGUAAAAUUGCCAAAUGCUGGUGAUGUGACAAAUGGUGUUUAUAACUUUGGGGAAGUUCUUUGGCGCAUAUAGCAUUAACUGGUUUUGAUAAUUAUUACUACAAGUUAUUGAAGAGAAUAAACAAACUUUAUUGCAAUGCCACCUCUGAUAACAAAGGUGUUAUUCUGUAGAAGAUGUGUUUACUAAAUUAUGGCAUGGGAACGUGAUAGGUUAUUAUAUAGCCUUGAAGAUGUUCUUGUCAAGAUAAUGUAGGUACUUGGAUGGCUUACCAUCCAGUUAGUAUCAGGAAGAGUUGAAUGCAAAGCCUCCUACUUUGUAGUGUAAACGCCAGGGUCACAGGCUAGAAGUCAAUGUAUAAAUAUUGAUACAGCUUUGUUUAAGCAGUGGGGUUGUGGGCAGUUUUUGUCUUUAAUGUUGGUAAUCAUGCUUUUUUAAAGUAAAAUUUUUAUUUUGGGGCAAUUACAGAUAUAAAGAAAAGUUUCAAGGAUAAUACAGAGUUUGUGUAGAUCCCUCAGUGUCUUCUCAUAUUAAUGAUAAUUAUGCUUCUAUCAUUUUAUUUUAAAGUGAAGAUAUCCCAAAGAUGACAAAAGGUGUUAACAAUCACCUCUGUCCCUUCCACGUCUGUAGCAUAUCUUUCCAUACUUUUAUCUCAGCUCUUACAAACUUGUAUGUGUAUGUUAUUAUAAUUGUUAUAGUGUGUGAUAAUAUGCAUGUUCUUUUGUAACUUGCUGGUAUCACUUAAUAAUAUAUUGUGGGCAUCCAGUGGUCUACACACAGUGGUCUCUGUAAUAAAAUCAGCUGGGUGGUCUCACAAUACUGAUUCCUAGGUCCCAUUCACAGAGAUUUUUACUCAGUCUGAAGUUGGGCUCAGGAAUCAGAAUCUGUUUUAAAGACCCUGUAUAAUUUAAUGUGCAAGUUCAGAUUUAAGAACUUACUCUAGAUAAAUAUGUAUCAUUCACAUCUGAGUUGUUUGUAGUGGCCAAAGCUAUGCCAGUGUUUUUCAGUCAUUUCUCCGUUGGGUUUCUAGGUUUUUCCUACCAUGUACACGGUGCUGUAGUAAACAUCCUGGUGCAUCCUUACACAGUGGUACUGUCUAUAGGAUAAGCUCAAAAAUGUGUUUAUGGGCUGCCUGGGUGGCCCAGUCAGUUGAGUGUCUGACUUCAGCUCAGGUCAUGAUCUCAUGGUCUGUGAGUUCGAGCCCCGCGUCGGGCUCUGUGCUGACCGCUCAGAGCCUGGAGCCUGUUUCGGAUUCUGUGUCUCCCUCUCUCUCUCUGACCCUCCCCCGUUCAUGCUCUGUCUCUCUG